rnacentral:lncRNA from 1 species
CUGGCUUCAGACUUCAGCUGCAACAUCAGCUCUUCCUUGGAUUUCCAGCCUACCUAACUACUCUGCAGAUUUUGAACUUGCCAGCCUCCACAAUCAUUCUUGCUAUGUCACCCAGGCUGGAGUGCAGUUGCGCCAUCUCGGAUCACCACAACCUCCACCUCCUGUGUUCAAGUGAUCUGCCUCAGCCUCCCAAGUAGCUGAGAUGACAGACUUCCCACUGGGUUCCAGCCGGCACACCCAACCUCUUCAGGACCUCAAAUCACCUUCCACUGAGAUGGAAUGA